rnacentral:lncRNA from 1 species
CUGGCCUCAUAAAAUGAGUUAGGGAAGAUUCCUUCUUUUUCUAUUGAUUGGAAUAGUUUCAGAAGGAAUGGUACCAGCUCUUCCUUGUACCUCUGGUAGAAUUCGGCUGUGAAUCCAUCUGGUCCUGGAAUUUAUUUGGUUGGCACUUCUAGAUAUCUGUUGAGGCCUGGAAGGGGCAAAACAAUUCAGGAAGCAGUUGAAGAUAAAGGGGUUUACCAUGGAAGAGAAGAUCCAGGUGCCUUCAUGGAAAUGCUUGUGGUUGAAAAGAGAUGAAGAUGAGGGUCCCUGGAAAGAGGAAGAACCAGCCAGGAAAAUUAUACCAUUAGCAAGACUGGCAUCAGCAAGUAGUUCGCAGUGUUGGUUGUUCUUGGUUUCGCAGGAUUUUAUAGGAGAGUUUCUGUCAGGCCUUUGAGCCCAAGCUAAGCCAUCAUACCCCUGUGACCUACACGUUAUACAUCCAGAUGGCCUGAAGCAAUUGAAGAUCCACAAAAUAAGUGAAAAUAGCCUUAACGGAUGACAUUCCACCAUUGUGAUUUGUUUCCACCCCACCCUAACUGAUACAUAUAUUCUCCCCCACCCUUAAGAAGGUACUUCGGAAUGUUCUCUCCCGCUCUUAAGAAUGUGCUUUGUAUGCCUAUCCCAAACCUGUAAGAACUAAUGAUAAUCCCACCACCCUUUGCUGACUCUUUUUUUUGGACUCAGCCCAUCUGCACUCAGGUGAAAUAAACAGCCUUGUUACUCACACAAAGCCUGUUUGGUGGUCUCUUCACAUGGAUGUGCGUGACAUUUGGUGCCGUGACUAGGAUUGGGGGCCCUCCCUUGGGAGAUCAAUCCCCUGUCCUCCUGCUCUUUGCUCCAUGAGAAAGAUCCACCUACGACUUUGGGUCCUUAGACCAACCAGCCCAAGGAACAUCUCACCAAUUUUAAAUCGGGUAAGCAGCCUCUUUU